AGCUGAGGGAGGUCACCAAUGGAGACCCACAGGGACUGUGCUAGGACUCAUGCUGUUUAACAUAUUCUUAAAUGCUGAGAAGCAGAGGGUGGGCUGAGAAGGAGCAAAUUUUACCGAGAAUACCAGUUUAUUCAGGGGAAGAAAUUUGAAGGCCAGCAGUGGAAAACUUCGAAUGACGGAGGGAGGCAUAUAACAGAAGAUUAUGAAAUUGUGAAUGACAGGGAGAGAUCAGUUGAGGAGGAACUACUCACCAUCUCUUCCUGUAGAAGAGCAAGAAAGCAUCAUGUAGCACCAGGAGGUGCACACCAAAAAGAGUCUUUCUGCCAUCAUUUCUUCCAUUUCCUCUCAGUGAUUCCUAAGCAGAGGCUAAUCUCUGUGAAGCACCUGCAAGCAGCCAUCUUCUUAAGCCAAGAAAUCCACCAAAGGAUAUUGGAUAUUGAAUUUCACUGGCCCACGAUAAGGAGGUAGAGACUUAUGAUAUCAGAUAGCAGAAGAAUGACUUCAAGCCAGCGUACUGAAGCAAAAGCAACUGCAUGUGGCUGAAGAGCAUGGAACAGUGCUGAAAGGAGGAGAUUUAACUUGUAAUCUCUAAGCAAGAUAAAGAAAGUCUAAAGGCCAGGAAUCAUUAGUCCAUGACCUAUACAUAAUAGGCACUGAUGCUCAUCAAAGUUAGAUCUUGGUACAUACCUUGUUAUACCUGCUUGGCAAUUUGGUUAUAUUUCAUGACAAACUUCUGCUAGCAGAUUUUCUACUGAAUAAACUCUAAAGUCUUUGACUUCCUC
rnacentral:lncRNA from 7 species